GACGGAGGAUGCAAGUGUUAUCCGGAAUCACUGGGCGUAAAGCGUCUGUAGGUGGUUUAAUAAGUCAACUGUUAAAUCUUGAGGCUCAACUUCAAAAUCGCAGUCGAAACUAUUAGACUAGAGUAUAGUAGGGGUAAAGGGAAUUUCCAGUGGAGCGGUGAAAUGCGUAGAGAUCGGAAAGAACACCAACGGCGAAAGCACUCUGCUGGGCCGACACUGACACUGAGAGACGAAAAGCUAGGGGAGCGAAUGGG
rnacentral:rRNA from 1 species